UUGCAAUGAUGAUAAUUUUAAUGUUGAUGAAAGUCAUGAGAACUCAGACAUGGUGGAGACCAUGUUGAUUCUGAGCGGUUACCUGAGCAA